CAGUCUCUCCUCGCUGCCUGCAGGUUCAGUCUUCUCCCUCUCCGGGUGACUCCGGCUCUCCCUUACUCCGUGUUGGGUUACAGUGACAAGGCCCCUGUCUGAACCAAGACUUUCAGAAAGAUAAUAUUACAGGUGCAAAUCAGUUUCCUCCUACAAGAACUGAUAUUAGCAGAGAUAUCCCAGAAUGAACUGAGUUGACCUAAAUUAGAUCAUGGUCUUGGUCUUUUGUUCCUCCCUGCUACUCUUGCGGCUCCACAAGAUGACCCAAAACAUCACAGGUCUCAGGAAGUCGAUUUUGGAGAGGACAUCCCUGUCUGAACGCACACUUUCUAACUAAGCAACCUUCCACCUCGGUUGGGUCUAUUUUGGUGAAGCAACUAAAGUAUGAGAGGAUACUGCUGUUUUUGGAGGCUCAGUUCUCAGCACUGAAUGCAGCAUGAAUGACGGAGCUCUUUCUCAAUCGCUUCAAAGGCCAAAGCUCCACAGCCCAGAGAGCAGAGUUAAAUAAAGGUUUUCUUGCAACAGAAUGAAAGAAAAAGGAAGAAGAAAUAGAAAAACAACUAAUAAAUAUUUUUACAUUUGGUUCAGAUUGACAGUGUAAGAAAAACAACCAACUAACAAAGUUAGGUUUGCAUAAAAAUUCUCCUCGCGCCCCAUUGAAAGCCAAAUAUUUUUCUUCCUCUCUCACAGCUCAAGGAGGAAAUCCAGUUGUGUAUUUUUUUUAUAUAUAUAUUUUUUAUUUUUGUGCAAAAUUAGUUUCAGUUUUUGUUGAGCAAAUGUUGAGUUUUCCCCCCUCUGUCUAAGAGUGAUUACGUCUCAGUGCAAAUAAGGCUUGUGUGUUGUAAUGAAAGCAAUGUGAAAGAAAGGGGCUGGGAGCCCUUUUUUUCUGCAGCAGCAGCAUUUCCUCUGAAGGAUUUCCCACUAAAACACACUGUGGAUUAUUUCCACAUAAUUUGCUGCUGGAAUCCAAAAAGUACCCAUCGGCUAGCAAAAGCAGAUCUUUUUUUCUUCUCGACAAACUGUUUCUCACUCCAUCAAACACACUCAAAAAUGUUUUUAAUUUUCAAUUCCCUUCUGUAUUAAGAGUGCAAAAAUGGAGGUUGUAUAAAUUGUGUUAUUUUACGUUUUAAAUGUUUACUGAAGGAAAAGCUGUUGGUAUUUCUUGAUUCCUGUUGUUGAGUGGCAACAGUGUUUCUGUGCAUUCAGGCAGAAAACGGCAUCAUUUAUUUAUUUAUUUUUUUUUAAAAAGGCUAAUUUAAUUCAAAAACAUUCACUUUGCACCAAAAAGUAACACAAAGUAACAAAUAAAUGUGUCUUUUUGUAAAACCUGCUUGUCUGCAGAAGUUUCCAAAUGUUAUCAGUAGUUUCAGCUCAAGAAUACCUUGAGGUGUUUUUUUUUUUUUUUCCCCUUCCUUUUCUGUGUAAAUCCGUCUAAAGCUGCCAGCGCUGACAUACACAGCAUAUGCUAAAUACAGAUAAGAGCAUUUUUUUUAAUAGAUCUGCAAAAAGUCUCCCCCACAUAGCUCAAUGGAUGUGCUUUGAAUGCAGUAGAUAAGUUGGCUUAAGCUGAAUGCUGUAUCCCAGUGCAACAUUGUGCGACUGGGUGAGCCCAUCACAAAACUAGCCUUCCAGUAAAGACCACUUCCAGGGGAGGGAUUAUAGAAAAGCCUUCGAGAUCAGCUUCAUGUCUUGCUGGAGUUUAUGAUUAUUAAUAGUGCUGUAUGACAGGGGAAGAAAAUAGGCGUUGGCAGGGAUCAUGUGGCAAAAAAUCUUUAAGCCAUUUAUUUACCUACAAUGUCAAACGAAAUAGAGUGGAAGGAGUUUGUUUGGAUGUCUUGCUGCUUUGUUUAGUCAACUUUUCAAGUGUUUUUUGUGCGUGUAAAUAUUGAUUUCUUCAUGAAUUGUGUUUAGACUAUUAAACGUCACGCUAAAAAGUUCACGUUUUCACGAAAAUAAUUAAUUAGAAAUGUUGUGUCAAAUAAAUUAUUGCAAAUUAGGUUUUUUGAGAGUUUUGUGGGUGAGCUGGGGUCAUAAAGUUUGCCUUUAACUUUGUUACAUUGCCUCUGGUUGGAUUUAUUGACAAAAUGUGAGUAAAAUACAUUGUGAUAGAUUGAUGGAUGGAUUGUUAGA